rnacentral:rRNA from 1 species
GAUGAACGCUAGCUACAGGCUUAACACAUGCAAGUCGAGGGACCGGCGCACGGGUGCGUAACACGUAUCCAACCUUCCCUUUACCCGGGGAUAGCCUUUACACAGGGAGAUUAAUACCAGAUCUAAAGGAUGGGGAUGCGUUCCAGUAGCGUGUGGGUGAGGUAACGGCCCAACAAGCCUUCGUUGGCGAGGGGAUCUGGGAGGAAGGUCCCCCACGUUUGAACUGAGACACGGACCAAAAUGCUAGGGGAGGCAGGAGUAAGGAAUAUUGGUGAAUGGGGUUUAGCCGGAAACAGCCAAGUAGGGUGAAGGAUGAAGGCUUAUGAGUCGUAAACUUCUUUUAUAUAAGAAUAGGUAUUUUAUGAAUAAGGAUCGGCUAACUCCGUGCCAGCAGCCGCGGUAAUUC